AACGCAUAUUGCGCCCUCUGGUAUUCCGGGGGGCAUGCCUGUCCGAGCGUCAUUACUACCUUCAAGCACGGCUUGUGUGUUGAGCAUUUUGUUCCAUUCUCAGUGAACAAGGCUUGAAAUGCAGUGGCGAUGCCUUAAAUUGGUUGCCUGAACGUAUAGGGCUAUGUCACACGUUCUUGUGGCUCCAGUUGUGCAUCUUGUUCCAACUUCUAAAAAAUCUCGAAUUGACCUCGGAUCAGGUAGGAAUACCCGCUGAACUUAA
rnacentral:misc_RNA from 1 species